CUUGGGGGUGGGUUAGAAAUAAAUCUGAGAACAAGGUGAGCUGAAAAGAAACCUGCUUGUGUUCCAAAGAUGCCUAAAUUCAUUGUCAACACAAAUAUAAACAAGGAUAAAGUUCCAGAAUCUUUUGCAGGGGAGCUUGCCCAACAGUUACCAAAAGCAUUGGGCGAACAGCACAGUAUCUAGCACUACAGAUCUCUCCUGAUCAUGUGAUGUCCUUUGGUGGCUCCACAGACCCUUGUGUCAUGUACUUUCCCUACAGCAUUGGAAAGAUAGGAGAGCGGGAGAACAAGGUCUGAUCCAAACUGCUUUGUGACCUGCUGAACAAACAGCUGAAAAUACCAUUGGUCAGAAUCUACAUCAGCUUCUUUAACAUCAGUCCUGGCAAUGUAGGCUGGAAUAGCCCCACCUUUGCUUGAGGUGCCCUGGGGAAAUCACAGCUUAUUCCUGAACCCUCACCAUGGUUUGAGAACUGCAGUUCUAGUCACCUUCUGGCAUCUGCCAAAUGCAAAAGGCAUUGGUAUCUUAGUUGUUGCUACCCACUGCUGCUUAAAUAAAAAUGCAGCAGAAACCUUAUGACU